rnacentral:rRNA from 1 species
GGUGCCGCAGNAACGCAUUAGUACUCCGCNUGGAAUACGCUCGCAAGAGUGAAACUCAAAGGAAUUGACGGGACCCGCACAAGUAGCGGAGCAUGUGGUUUAAUUCGAAGCAACGCGAAGAACCUUACCUAAGCUUGACAUCCUUUUGACCUCUCCCUAAUAGGAGAUUUCCCUUCGGGGACAGAAGUGACAGGUGGUGCAUGGUUGUCGUCAGCUCGUGUCGUGAGAUGUUGGGUUAAGUCCCGCAACGAGCGCAACCCUUGCCUUUAGUUGCCAGCAUUAAGUUGGGCACUCUAGAGGGACUGCCAGGGAUAACCUGGAGGAAGGUGGGGAUGACGUCAAAUCAUCAUGCCCCUUAUGCUUAGGGCUACACACGUGCUACAAUGGGUGGUACAGAGGGCAGCCAAGUCGUGAGGCGGAGCUAAUCCCUUAAAGCCAUUCUCAGUUCGGAUUGCAGGCUGAAACUCGCCUGCAUGAAGCUGGAGUUACUAGUAAUCGCAGAUCAGAAUGCUGCGGUGAAUGCGUUCCCGGGUCUUGUACACACCGCCCGUCACACCACGGAAGUUGGGGGCGCCCGAAGCCAGAUAGCUAACCUUUUGGAAGCGUCUGUCGAAGGUGAAAUCAAUAACUGGGGUGAAGUCGUAACAAGGUAACC